rnacentral:misc_RNA from 1 species
AAGUCGUAACAAGGUUUCCGUAGGUGAACCUGCGGAAGGAUCAUUAUCGAAACAAAACCUGUGAGGCCACGCUCGGGCUGUCGCUGACUCAAGAAGUCGUGCACGCCCGAGGGUGUCCUCGCAUAAUAAUCCAUCUCACCCUUUGUGCACCACCGCGUGGGCGCACCCUUCGGGAUCGGUCCGAUCUUGGAAGGGGGCUCACGUUUUCACACAAACCCCCCCAACCCUAAAAGUGUAGAAUGACCUCAUAUAUGCAAAAUAAAUACAACUUUCAACAACGGAUCUCUUGGCUCUC